rnacentral:rRNA from 1 species
AUACGGAGGGUGCAAGCGUUGUCCGGAUUCACUGGGUGUAAAGGGUGUGCAGGCUGGGUGGUAAGUCAGAGGUGAAAGCCCACGGCUCAACCGUGGAAUUGCCUUUGAAACUGCCGUUCUUGAGUCUCGGAGAGGUCGCUGGAAUUCGUGGUGUAGCGGUGAAAUGCGUAGAUAUCACGAGGAACACCGGAGGCGUAGGCGAGCGACUGGACGACGACUGACGCUGAGGCACGAAAGCGUGGGGAGCAAACAGGAUUAGAAACCCCGGUAGUCC